UGGGGAAUUUUGGACAAUGGGCGAAAGCCUGAUCCAGCCAUGCCGCGUGCAGGAUGAAGGCCUUCGGGUUGUAAACUGCUUUUGUACGGAACGAAAAGACUCUGGUUAAUACCUGGGGUCCAUGACGGUACCGUAAGAAUAAGCACCGGCUAACUACGUGCCAGCAGCCGCGGUAAUACGUAGGGUGCAAGCGUUAAUCGGAAUUACUGGGCGUAAAGCGUGCGCGGGCGGUUAUAUAAGACAGAUGUGAAAUCCCCGGGCUCAACCUGGGAACUGCAUUUGUGACUGUAUAGCUAGAGUACGGCAGAGGGGGAUGGAAUUCCGCGUGUAGCAGUGAAAUGCGUAGAUAUGCGGAGGAACACCGAUGGCGAAGGCAAUCCCCUGGCCUGUACUGACGCUCAUGCACGAAAGCGUGGGGAGCAAACAGGAUUAGAUACCCUGGUAGUCCACGCCCUAAACGAUGUCAACUGGGUUGUUGGGUCUUCACUGACCCAGUAACGAAGCUAACGCGUGAAGUUGACCGCCUGGGGGGUACGGCCGCAAGGUUGAAACUUAAAUGAAUUGAC
rnacentral:rRNA from 1 species